rnacentral:rRNA from 1 species
UACGGGGGUGGCAAGCGUUGUUCGGAAUUACUGGGCGUAAAGGGCUCGUAGGCGGCCAACUAAGUCCGACGUGAAAUCCCCAGGCUUAACCUGGGAACUGCGUCGGAUACUGGAUGGCUUGAAUCCGGGAGAGGGAUGCGGAAUUCCAGGUGUAGCGGUGAAAUGCGUAGAUAUCUGGAGGAACACCGGUGGCGAAGGCGGGUCUCUGGGCCGAUACUGACGCUGAGGAGCGAAAGCGUGGGGAGCGAACAGG